AUUGAACGCUGGCGGCAUGCUUUACACAUGCAAGUCGAACGGUAACAGGUCUUCGGAUGCUGACGAGUGGCGAACGGGUGAGUAAUGCAUCGGAACGUGCCCAGUCGUGGGGGAUAACGCAGCGAAAGCUGCGCUAAUACCGCAUACGAUCUAUGGAUGAAAGCGGGGGACCGUAAGGCCUCGCGCGAUUGGAGCGGCCGAUGUCAGAUUAGGUAGUUGGUGGGGUAAAGGCUCACCAAGCCGACGAUCUGUAGCUGGUCUGAGAGGACGACCAGCCACACUGGGACUGAGACACGGCCCAGGCUCCUACGGGAGGCAGCAGUGGGGAAUUUUGGUCAAUGGGCGCAAGCCUGAACCAGCAACGCCGCGUGGGUGAUGAAGGCCUUCGGGUUGUAAAGCCCUGUCGGGAGGGACGAAACUCCAGAGUAACGACCUGGACUGACGGUACCUUCAAAGGAAGCACCGGCUAACUCUGUGCCAGCCGCCGCGGUAAAAC
rnacentral:rRNA from 1 species